GGGACGUUCGUCUAGUGGCUAGGAUGGUGGGCUCCAGACCCACUGAUCGCGGGUUCAAUUCCCACACGUCCCACCA
rnacentral:tRNA from 1 species